rnacentral:rRNA from 1 species
GAUGAACGCUGGCGGCGUGCCUAACACAUGCAAGUCGAACGGAGUUGACCCUUCGGGGUUAACUUAGUGGCGAACGGGUGAGUAACGCGUGAGAAACCUGCCUUUCAGUGGGGGACAACAGUUGGAAACGACUGCUAAUACCGCAUAAUGUCAUUUGGGGGCAUCCCCGGAUGACCAAAGAUUUAUUGCUGAAAGAUGGUCUCGCGUCUGAUUAGCUAGAUGGCGGGGUAACGGCCCACCAUGGCGACGAUCAGUAGCCGGUCUGAGAGGAUGAACGGCCACAUUGGGACUGAGAUACGGCCCAGACUCCUACGGGAGGCAGCAGUGGGGAAUAUUGGGCAAUGGGGGAAACCCUGACCCAGCAACGCCGCGUGAAGGAAGAAGGCCUUCGGGUUGUAAACUUCUUUUACCAGGGACGAACACAAUGACGGUACCUGGAGAAAAAGCAACGGCUAACUACGUGCCAGCCGCCGCCGUAAAAC